rnacentral:rRNA from 1 species
GUGCCAGCCGCCGCGGUAAUACGGAGGAUCCGAGCGUUAUCCGGAUUUAUUGGGUUUAAAGGGAGCGUAGGUUGACAUAUAAGUCAGCUGUGAAAGUUUACGGCUCAACCGUGAAAUUGCAGUUGAUACUGUAUGUCUUGAGUGUACAAGAGGUGGGCGGAAUUCGUGGUGUAGCGGUGAAAUGCUUAGAUGUCACGAAGAACUCCAAUUGCGAAGGCAGCUCACUGGGGUACAACUGACACUGAGGCUCGAAAGUGUGGGUAUCAAACAGGAUUAGAUACCCUGGUAGUCCACACAGUAAACGAUGAAUACUCGCUGUUUGCGAUAUACAGUAAGCGGCCAAGCGAAAGCAUUAAGUAUUCCACCUGGGGAGUACGCCGGCAACGGUGAAACUCAAAGGAAUUGACGGGGGCCCGCACAAGCGGAGGAACAUGUGGUUUAAUUCGAUGAUACGCGAGGAACCUUACCCGGGCUUGAAUUGCAGAGGAACAUAGUUGAAAGAUUAUGGCCGCAAGGUCUCUGUGAAGGUGCUGCAUGGUUGUCGUCAGCUCGUGCCGUGAGGUGUCGGCUUAAGUGCCAUAACGAGCGCAACCCUUAUCAUUAGUUACUAACAGGUCAUGCUGAGGACUCUAGUGAGACUGCCGUCGUAAGAUGUGAGGAAGGUGGGGAUGACGUCAAAUCAGCACGGCCCUUACGUCCGGGGCUACACACGUGUUACAAUGGGGGGUACAGAGGGCAGCUACCGGGCGACCGGAUGCCAAUCCCAAAAACCUCUCUCAGUUCGGAUCGAAGUCUGCAACCCGACUUCGUGAAGCUGGAUUCGCUAGUAAUC